rnacentral:lncRNA from 1 species
UUUGCCAAGAUUACUAUGACAGUAUAUGCUAUGCAUUUAUAGCCAAUUUAGCCCAAGUGAAAUUUCGUUGCUGUUGACCUUUAAGGUGCAGAUAUAGU